AUGACGGUUGCUUAGUGGUUAGCAUGUUCGCCUCACACCUCAAGGGUCUGGGGUUCGAUUCCCGUCCGGGCUG